AACUUAAUUUUGUUAAGUUCACCUACUUUUUAGGGACCUUGAGAGGAGCUGCUCUGGAGCCAUGGAAGAGGGCUGUAGGGUUAUGAAUGAUGAACAGACAGAAAUGACAAAUGCGGAUCAAAUUUUUAAUAUCUAUGUACUAUAUAAUAAUCUAUAAAAAAAUGUUCAUUUUUUUUAAGGGAUGGGAAAGACAUGGUGGAUAUUGUUACAAAAUCGACAGUACCCCUCGAAGUUUUGAACAUGCUUCCAGUGGUUAUUUCUGCCCAUCUGCACUUGUAUCAGUAACAAACAGGUUUGAGCAAGCUUUUAUUACCAGCAUGAUCCGUAGUGUGGUAAAAUCUGAGAGAACUUAUUUUUGGAUAGGACUGCAAGACCU